rnacentral:miRNA from 1 species
CUGAGUCAUCUCCCCAUCCCCAGACUUUAAAAGUCAGGGGCUGGGGAGAUGGCUCAG